AUCAACUUCAUUUUGUAGGUGCUAGAGUAUCUGGCUGUGGGCAAGAUACUGACAUUUGAACAUAUCAAUGGUGGUCUCCCAUGUCAUGGAAUGGAGAGGUGGGUAAAUUUCAAUUUUUUUUAUCUCCACUGGAAUAGUUGUUAGAAAUUUCUAGUAGUCAUGUCUAGUUGUUGCCUCUUUUGUUUUGGUUCUUAUGGUUAACACAAGCUUAAAAAGAUGUUAUUCUGGUAUUAUAAAACCAUGAAAUAUGCUACACCAUAUGUGUGUGUCUGUGUGAAAUGUUGAAUAUCUAUACUACUAAUAAUGGGUAUUGGUCCCUUUGGUUAUAAUUCCUACUACUGUAGUUUUUUUUAAUCAUAUCUUG